rnacentral:rRNA from 1 species
CGCCUAAAACCUAGCUUUACUUCCCCACACAUACUCUCCUAACUUUUUCCCUAAAUAAAACAUUUUUACUAUUUAGUAGAGGCGAUCAAAAAAUAUCUUAAAGCUAUAAAAAUAGUACCGCAAGGGAAAGGUGAAAUAGUAAUGAAAUAACCCUUAAGCCAAAAAAAGCAGAGAUUAAACCUCGUACCUUUUGCAUCAUGGUUUAGCUAGUCUAACCAAGCAAAAUGCAUUAUAGUUUGACCCCCCGAAACUAAGCGAGCUACUUUAAAACAGCCUUAAGGGCAAACCCGUCUCUGUUGCAAAAGAGUGGGAAGAUUUUAAAAUAGAGGUGAUAAACCUACCGAGCUUAGAGAUAGCUGGUUAUUCAGGAGACGGAUUUAAGUCCUACCUUAAGUUUUCCCAUAACUUCUAAUACUUC